GGGUGUUUCUAGAUUGUCUCUGAAACAUUUAACAUGAACAGUGAUGCUUUACUCCAAACUUCAAAACAAGUGAUUCAUUUUCUGGAAUAAGAUAAGGGGAGUCAGUACUCACAUUACCAGGCUAAUAACCUUCACCCAGCUUAUGGAUUGCAACCCAUUCCGACUGGACCAACUCUGGGACAACCAUGUGUACCGGGACCACCACCAACAUAUCUGGAGGCUGCAGGUCAGUUUCCUGCUCCCUUCAGCCAGGCUGCAUAUGACGGAUGUCAGAUCAUGUACGAUCUACAACCACCGGUUCAACCAGCGGUUCCCACAGACCACACCUCACCUCAACCGCCAUACAACCCCGAUUACGUGAAAUCCCCAGAGACCAGUUAAACCACCACACACACACAAAAAAUGGCCAGUUAUCAACACUGGAUUGUGGAGGGUUUCGCAUUCCCGCGCUUCUUCUACAGAUUCUGAAAAGAUUGUGUUGAGAAUAAAAGUAUUGUUGUUGUUCAUGUGCAUUUGCCAUUGCUAAGUUAAUACUUGCUUUGUGAACUUUUUUACUCCAGUCAUGAC
rnacentral:lncRNA from 1 species